rnacentral:rRNA from 1 species
GACGAACGCUGGCGGCGUGCCUAAUACAUGCAAGUCGAACGAACCGCGACUAAGUGCUUGCACUAAGUCAAGGUGAGUGGCGAACGGGUGAGUAACACGUGGGUAACCUACCUCAUAGUGGGGGAUAACAGUCGGAAACGACUGCUAAUACCGCAUAGGACAUAGGAUCACAUGAUCCAGUGAGGAAAGGUGGCGCAAGCUAUCGCUAAGAGAUGGACCCGCGGUGCAUUAGCUAGUUGGUAGGGUAAAGGCCUACCAAGGCGAUGAUGCAUAGCCGACCUGAGAGGGUGAUCGGCCACAUUGGGACUGAGACACGGCCCAAACUCCUACGGGAGGCAGCAGUAGGGAAUCUUCCGCAAUGGACGCAAGUCUGACGGAGCAACGCCGCGUAAGUGAAGAAGGUCUUCGGAUCGUAAAGCUCUGUUGUUAGAGAAGAACAGCGCAUAGAGUAACUGCUAUGCGUGUGACGGUAUCUAACCAGAAAGCCACGGCUAACUACGUG